GAUCCUGGCUCAGGAUGAACGCUGGCGGCGUGCUUAACACAUGCAAGUCGAACGAAGCACUCUAUUUGAUUUUCUUCGGAAAUGAAGAUUUUGUGACUGAGUGGGCGGACGGGGUGAAGGUAACGCGUGGGUAACCUGCCUCAUACAGGGGGAUAACAGUUGGAAACGACUGCUAAUACCGCAUAAGCGCACAGGAUCGCAUGAUCUGGUGUGAAAAACUCCGGUGGU
rnacentral:rRNA from 1 species